rnacentral:rRNA from 1 species
GAUGAACGCUGGCGGCGUGCCUAAUACAUGCAAGUCGAGCGAACGGACAAGAAGCUUGCUUUUCUGAUGUUAGCGGCGGACGGGUGGGUAACACGUGGAUAACCUACCUAUAAGACUGGGAUAACUUCGGGAAACCGGAGCUAAUACCGGAUAAUAUUUUGAACCGCAUGGUUCAAAAGUGAAAGACGGUCUUGCUGUCACUUAUAGAUGGAUCCGCGCUGCAUUAGCUAGUUGGUAAGGUAACGGCUUACCAAGGCAACGAUGCAUAGCCGACCUGAGAGGGUGAUCGGCCACACUGGAACUGAGACACGGUCCAGACUCCUACGGGAGGCAGCAGUAGGGAAUCUUCCGCAAUGGGCGAAAGCCUGACGGAGCAACGCCGCGUGAGUGAUGAAGGUCUUCGGAUCGUAAAACUCUGUUAUUAGGGAAGAACAUAUGUGUAAGUAACUGUGCACAUCUUGACGGUACCUAAUCAGAAAGCCACGGCUAACUACGUG